GAUGAACGCUGGCGGCGUGCCUAAUACAUGCAAGUCGAGCGAACGGACGAGAAGCUUGCUCCUCUGAUGUUAGCGGCGGACGGGUGAGUAACACGUGGAUAACCUACCUAUAAGACUUGGAUAACUUCGUGAAACCGGAGCUAAUACCGGCUAAUAUUUUGAACCGCAUGGUUCAAAAGUUAAAGACGGUUUUGCUGUCACUUAUAGAUGGAUCCGCGCUGCAUUAGCUAGUUGGUAAGGUAACGGCUUACCAAGGCAACGAUGCAUAGCCGACCUGAGAGGGUGAUCGGCCACACUGGAACUGAGACACGGUCCAGACUCCUACGGGAGGCAGCAGUAGGGAAUCUUCCGCAAUGGGCGAAAGCCUGACGGAGCAACGCCGCGUGAGUGAUGAAGGUCUUCGGAUCGUAAAACUCUGUUAUUAGGGAAGAAAAUAUGUGUAAGUAACUAUGCACGUCUUGACGGUACCUAAUCAGAAAGCCACGGCUAACUACGUG
rnacentral:rRNA from 1 species